rnacentral:rRNA from 1 species
GAUGAACGCUAGCUACAGGCUUAACACAUGCAAGUCGAGGGGCAGCGCAGUGUAGCAAUACAUGGGCGGCGACCGGCGCACGGGUGCGUAACGCGUAUCCAACCUUCCCGUUACUCAGGGAUAGCCUUCCGAAAGGGAGAUUAAUACCUGAUGGUGUUUGAAUUCCGCAUGUUAUUCAAACUAAAGAUUUAUCGGUAACGGAUGGGGAUGCGUGACAUUAGGUAGAUGGCGGGGUAACGGCCCACCAUGCCUACGAUGUCUAGGGGUUCUGAGAGGAAGGUCCCCCACACUGGAACUGAGACACGGUCCAGACUCCUACGGGAGGCAGCAGUGAGGAAUAUUGGUCAAUGGUCGGAAGACUGAACCAGCCAAGUAGCGUGAAGGAUGAAGGUUCUAUGGAUUGUAAACUUCUUUUAUACGGGAAUAAAACCACCUACGUGUAGGUGCUUGUAUGUACCGUAUGAAUAAGCAUCGGCUAACUCCGUGCCAGCAGCCGCCGUAAAAC